rnacentral:tRNA from 1 species
GCGCGGUUGGCGUAGUGGUUAACGCGUUCGCUCAGAAAGUGAGAGAACCCGGGUUCGAAUCCCGGACCGCGCA